rnacentral:lncRNA from 1 species
AUAGAGUUCUGAAUCAUUUUUGCAUUAAUUUUUACCAUUUUAGAGUUCCAUUAAUCCACUGAACCUAAUGUGAUUUGACGAAGAAACUAGAUAUUAACAUGACAAUGAAUAUUGCAGCUCUAUUGUUUAUAAAUUUCCCAAAAAAAAAAAUAACAGAAAACUCAUCACCAGGAAUUAUAAAGAGAGCAAUUUACUGUGAAUUAAAACAAAAGAAAUAAAUAUUUAACAAGAAUUUCAGUGAUACCUUUGUGGAAGUCUUCGAUUUCUC